UAUUGGAGCUUGGGUUGGAGAACUGCCUGACUGCUUCAAGGCCAUCAAUCUUGGCGAGUAUGCAGCUUCUGAUGAUGCUCGGGAUUCCCGUACUGUUAGCCAAGAAACUGAGAACUUACCGGUGUCAACUCCCACUGAGACGACUUCUCAUCUGGAACAAAAGGAUAAUACCCGGGAAAGUCUGCUGAAUAUUGCUAGUUUUCAGGUGGUGAUGUCAGAAGGUAAACUAGUGGGUUUUCAGCCAACCAGCCGCUUAGCUGUGAGCCAUUGGGCAAAUAACCCGCUAGCAGCACUGCUGUAUGAGGGGCGGAAGCUUUCUCCAGCCUUUCUGGAGCCUAGGCUUAAAAUAUUCCGUCCUGCUAAGGUUGUCCCAAUUGAAUUACUGAUGUCGGUAAAUUCAGAAACUUUUUUUGCUUUGGCGAGGCCUGUUCAAGACCGGUGCUAACGGAGGUUAUAUUGCUGACAUACCGAUAUCCUGGCAGUCGCAUCGUCAUAUCCGGAGCCUGCUGAUGCAAAACUCACACCCCUUCUGAGUUGCCUUGGCCUCAACCUUGGCUCACGGAAACCUGGAAUGGUCAUCCCUAUACCUAGCUUCUCCGCUGCACAGCCACAAAGCUGCACCGUAAAUAUAUCAUACCGAACAACAGUGAACAUCACUAACCUUCUGACCAAAAACACCACCCAUUUAGCUGCACAGAGUCUCCACCAUCAUUUGCUUGCAACUCAAACCUUGUGCAUGCCUGAUUUUACCCGUGCAGUGAAGAUGCAAGGAAAAGCAGAGUGUGUGUCUGUACCGAGUAUGUCGGUGAUGAGCCGGCCAUUGCUGAACCGACCAGUGGGCCUUCCGCCGAGGAAGCUGGCGCCGUACGGCAGGAAGUUGGCCCUCAUCACCGUCUGCAGCCGGUUGUUGUUCCCGGGGUCCACCGUCGAGUCCCCGAACACCAGCAUGGUCGUCCAGCCGGUGGCACUGUAGUUGAGUGCCCUUCCAGGAGCCGGCGUUGGUGGCAGCGGCAGCGGCACCGCGGCCCACCCCGGUUC